UGCAAGUCGAGCGGACCGACGGGAGCUUGCUCCCUUAGGUCAGCGGCGGACGGGUGAGUAACACGUGGGUAACCUGCCUGUAAGACUGGGAUAACUCCGGGAAACCGGGGCUAAUACCGGAUGCUUGAUUGAACCGCAUGGUUCAAUCAUAAAAGGUGGCUUUUAGCUACCACUURCAGAUGGACCCGCGGCGCAUUAGCUAGUUGGUGAGGUAACGGCUCACCAAGGCGACGAUGCGUAGCCGACCUGAGAGGGUGAUCGGCCACACUGGGACUGAGACACGGCCCAGACUCCUACGGGAGGCAGCAGUAGGGAAUCUUCCGCAAUGGACGAAAGUCUGACGGAGCAACGCCGCGUGAGUGAUGAAGGUUUUCGGAUCGUAAAACUCUGUUGUUAGGGAAGAACAAGUACCGUUCGAAUAGGGCGGYACCUUGACGGUACCUAACCAGAAAGCCACGGCUAACUACGUGCCAGCAGCCGCGGUAAUACGUAGGUGGCAAGCGUUGUCCGGAAUUAUUGGGCGUAAAGCGCGCGCAGGCGGUUUCUUAAGUCUGAUGUGAAAGCCCCCGGCUCAACCGGGGAGGGUCAUUGGAAACUGGGGAACUUGAGUGCAGAAGAGGAGAGUGGAAUUCCACGUGUAGCGGUGAAAUGCGUAGAGAUGUGGAGGAACACCAGUGGCGAAGGCGACUCUCUGGUCUGUAACUGACGCUGAGGCGCGAAAGCGUGGGGAGCGAACAGGAUUAGAUACCCUGGUAGUCCACGCCGUAAACGAUGAGUGCUAAGUGUUAGAGGGUUUCCGCCCUUUAGUGCUGCAGCAAACGCAUUAAGCACUCCGCCUGGGGAGUACGGUCGCAAGACUGAAA
rnacentral:rRNA from 1 species